UAAAGGUUUGGUCCUGGCCUUUUUAUUAGUUGAUAGUAAAAUUAUACAUGCAAGUCUCAGCAACCCUGUGAGAAUACCCUUUAAAUCUAUAAGAUCAAAAGGAGUGGAUAUCAAGCACGCCAUUAGGCAGCUAAUAACAUCUUGCUAAGCCACACCCCCACGGGUUACAGCAGUAACAAAAAUUUAGCAAUUAACGAAAGUUAGACUAAGUUAUACUAUUAUAGGGUUGGUAAAUUUCGUGCCAGCCACCGCGGUCAUACGAUUAACCCAAACUAAUAAAUAUCGGCGUAAAGCGUGCUCAUGGAUAAAAAUUAAUAAUAAAGAUAAAUUACUUCUACACUGUAAAAAGUUAUAGAAUUACUGAAAAUAAACUACGAAAGUGACUUUACUAUGCCUUAUAGCACGAUAGCUAAGACACAAACUGGGAUUAGAUACCCCACUAUGCUUAGCCCUAAACCUUAAUAAUUUUAAACAAAAUUAUUCGCCAGAGAACUACUAGCAAUAGCUUAAAACUUAAAGGACUUGGCGGUGCUUUAUAUCCACCUAGAGGAGCCUGUUAUAUAAUCGAUAAACCCCGAUAUACCUCACCACUACUUGCUAAUUCAGUCUAUAUACCGCCAUCUUCAGCAAACCCUUAAAAGGUGAAAUAGUAAGCUUAAUAAUUUCCAUAAAAACGUUAGGUCAAGGUGUAGCCUAUGUAGUGGAACUCAAUGGGCUACAUUUUCUGACCCAGAAUAUUUUACGGAUAUUUUCAUGAAAUUGAAAAUUAAAGGAGGAUUUAGUAGUAAACUAAGAAUAGAGAGCUUAGUUGAAUUAGGCCAUGAAGCACGUACACACCGCCCGUCACCCUCCUCAAGUAUAUAAAUUAUUUUAACCAUAUUACCUUAUAAUAAACUACAAGAGGAGAUAAGUCGUAACAAGGUAAGCAUACUGGAAAGUGUGCUUGGAAAACC